GAUGAACGCUGGCGGCGUGCCUAAUACAUGCAAGUAGAACGCUGAAGGAGGAGCUUGCUCUUCUGGAUGAGUUGCGAACGGGUGAGUAACGCGUAGGUAACCUGCCUGGUAGCGGGGGAUAACUAUUGGAAACGAUAGCUAAUACCGCAUGACAACAGUUAUUGCAUGAUAACUGUUUAAAAGGGGCAACUGCUCCACUACCAGAUGGACCUGCGUUGUAUUAGCUAGUUGGUGAGGUAACGGCUCACCAAGGCGACGAUACAUAGCCGACCUGAGAGGGUGAUCGGCCACACUGGGACUGGGACACGGCCCAGACUCCUACGGGAGGCAGCAGUAGGGAAUCUUCGGCAAUGGACGGAAGUCUGACCGAGCAACGCCGCGUGAGUGAAGAAGGUUUUCGGAUCGUAAAGCUCGGUUGUAAGAGAAGAACGAGUGUGAGAGUGGAAAGUUCACACUGUGACGGUAGCUUACCAGAAAGGGACGGCUAACUACGUG
rnacentral:rRNA from 1 species